UCUUGCGGGAAGGACGGGCGGUAGAUCUUGGCUCGUUCUGACAUUUAAAGGUGAUCUUGGGUGUGAAAAGGUUGGAGACCCCUGCUCUAACCGGCAUCUCCUGUCUGUUUGCUUUGCAGCUGCCCCUGGUGACCCUGCAGGAUCCCCACGGGAACCGCAUCGCCCAGUGGCGAGAUGUGACUCCGCAGCAGGGCAUCGUGGAUCUGUCCCUCCCGCUGGCUGCCGAGCCGGCCCUGGGGCCGUACGCCAUCGAGGUGCAGGGGACCAGGCGUUCGUUCAGCGUGGAGGAGUAUGUGCUGCCCACGUUCGAAGUGACCCUCCAGAUGCCCCCCGUGGUGACGGUGCUGGACAAGACGCUCCACCUGCGGGUCUGUGGCCGCUACACCUACGGGAAGCCCGUGCUGGGGAGAGUCCAGGCCAGCCUGUGUCAGGAGCUGUAUUCCUGGUACCGGUAUGAAAGCGCUGUCCCGAGGGACGUGUGCACCGAGUUCACUGGCCAGGUGAG